rnacentral:rRNA from 1 species
AUGGCGGACAUGAUCCUGGGCUCGGCACAGGGAGCCGUGGACUCCCUCCUGGGGCGUCUGACAUCGGUCCUCGUUGACGAGGUGCAGCUGCUUGGUGAGGCCGACGAGGAGGACCACCAAGUCGGAGCGUGGAUGAAGCAAGUCGCGGAGGUCGCCUAUGCCUCCCGGAACAGCAUCGAUCGGUACAUUCAGAGGAUCGGUGCUGGCCGCAGGGAGCCAGGCCUCCUAGGCUACCUGGGGCGGCUGCCCAAGUUGGUGUGGACGUUGCCGGCGAUGCGUCACCGCAUCGCCAAUCAGAUCCGGGAGCUCAAGAUCCGGUCGUGCGAGGUGGGGGGGAGGCGCAUGAGGUAUGACGUCAAAGUGCCCGAGCCCAACGGAGACCGUGCAAAGUUCAUGAAGAAGGCAGGGUGGCAAGCUGCCAGAAAUGAUGACACCAAGGAGCAGGAAGAUGCUCAACGGCGUGACUUGGCUGAUGCUCUCCAGUCGCCUAAGAAUACCUACUAUGAGAGCACCUUGAUAAAGCUGUUGACGGAUGUAGGACAGGACCAUCUUAAAGUCCUAGCAAUUGUAGGAAUGGGUGGCUUAGGCAAAACUACUCUCGCUCGGAGAGCUUGGCAGAGUGUGGUAAGCUCAUUUGACUGCAAGGCUUGGAUCUGCGUAUCCAAUUCAAAUUCAGAUUUCAUGUUCUUCCGGGAGGUCCUAGAAGCACUGGCCAGUCCAUCAGAUCAAUUCGAUUUGGAUGGCAAGAAGGAGGAAGAGCUUAUGGCACAGCUUCAGUUGCACCUGAAAGGUAAAAGAUUCUUGCUUGUGUUUGAUGAUGUCUGGGGUAUAUCUUGGGGAAGAGCUCUAUGGAAUCGUAUCAAAUCUGCUUUCCCCCAUGAGAAUUGCUCUGCUGGUAGUGCCAUACUGAUUACCACACGUUCGAUUGAUGUGGCCCACUCAUUUUCUCCCAAUGAAUACUUAGAUUUGGACACUGAUAGUUAUUUCUAUGUGUGCAACGCAAUGGACCUAAUGAACAGCAACAACCAAAGCACUUAUCUGCGGCCUCUUUCACGGGAAAUUGUCUCAAAACCCUUGCCAGUCAGGUUGUUUCUACGUGCUCUCUAUGUCAAUCCUAACAGGACCAAAGCUGAUUUGCAGAGUCUGUGUGACAGCCUGGACAGCUCCAAACCAUCAAUGACGAACAAUCAAGCUGAGAAGGAACAAUAUGCAACUUGUUCCCAAGCCUGUUGGGAUAUUUGUCGCCCUUCCCGUCCAAGUGAACAAACAACAGUUGAACAGUCCAAUGCCACAGCCACUCAAGAAUUUUUGGAGUCGCUUCCUUCGUCGACUCACUUGGGGAUUCUGAAGGUGCUUGAUCUAGAAAACUGCAAUGAAUUGAAGAACCACCAUCUGAAAAACAUUUGCAGCCAUGUGUUACACCUGAAGUACUUGAGCCUUCGGAAAACUGGCAUUACUCAACUACCCAAGCAGCUUGACAAGCUUCAGUCCCUAGAGACCUUGGACAUUCGUCAAACAGAAGUAAAAGCAUUCGCCAAAAAUUCAGUUUUUCUACCAAAGCUAAAGCACCUACAAGCUGGACACUGGACUGAUGACACAACCCAAGGUAGCGACCAAUCUGAAGAGACAUUUCUCACCGUGUCGCUGCCCAAACGUAUCGGGGACAUGACAGAACUGCAGGUGCUAUCUCAUAUUGCAGUUUCUGGCAAAGGCGAUGAACUAAUUGAUGUUCGCAACCUACUCCAGUUGGUUAAGUUGGGUGUGGUUCUCUCUGGGAGCAAGAGAUCAGUCUUCUGGCAUUUGUACCAUGCAAUUGGAAAGCUUAGGAAAUGUCUUCGCUCACUGUCAAUCCGUGUCACAGAACUGACAAGCAACGAAGAGGAUGACAACAUGAACAUUGAAGAAGCACCCCUCAUACAUCCCAAGUAUCUUCAGAAGCUAAAAAUCAGUGGCCUGAAAUAUGGAUUGCCCUCAUGGAUUAAAAAGCUCGACGUACUUACCAAAAUAACCCUCCAUAUGACUUUCAUAACGGAUGAUGACUUCAAAUUCCUCGGAGAGCUUAAAAGCUUGUCCUGCCUUAGGCUCCAACGAGAGUCAUGCAAUGAAAACACACCCACCUUCAAAAAAGAUGCAUUUCAAAGUCUCAAGUUCCUGGAUAUUGAGUGCUCAGCCAUUACCAGUAUCAAAUUUGUCAAAGAGGCAUCUCCUAUGCUGAAGAAGUUAGUUUGGUCUUCUACUCGUGAACAGUCUCUUUCUGGGAUUGAGGACCUUCCAAGUUUCCGAGAGCUCAAGUUGACAGGCAUCUUUGACUUGCAAAGUGUGGAACAAGCAAUGGCAGCAAACAAGAACAAGCCUAUCUUGGUAGCAAACCCAAUAAAUGCUUAG